UUUUUUUUUUUUGCAACUUAAAUUAUCCACUAUUAAGAAAAUGACUUUUUUUUUUGAGAUGGAGUCUCCCUCUGUCAUCCAGGCUGGAGUGCAGUGGUGUGAUCUUGGUUCACUGCAACCUCCUCCUCCCAGGUUCAAGUGACUCUCCUGCCUCAGCCUCCUGAGUAGCUGGAAUUACAGGAGAAUUGCUUGAACCCAGGAGACGGUGGUUGCAGUAAGCCGCAGUUGCGCCACUGCACUCUAGCCUGGGCAGCUGACCAAGACUCCGCCUCAAAAAAAAAAAAAAAAAUUCCCUCCUUUCAAAGAGCUUAUAAAUUGGAAAUACUAAAAAUAUUUAUUCACAAAUAUUUAUGAAUAUUAUGAAUAUUCAUGAAGCUACAGAGCAGCCAUGUUCCAGGAGCCCAAUAAGUAUCUGAACAUUCGGUUAACUUUCUUUCAAUGACAGCCAGUAUCUGUUCAUCAGAUCAACAUAACCAAAAGGUAGCAUUUAUGAAAACAAGGUUUUAAGUGUCAACCCUAUUAAAGCGUAACGCCAUAAAUAACUUAUUCUAGGUUUCAUCCCCCCAAGGCUUGUCAAAAUUCAAAAGCCUAUAUAGUGGCAAGGCCAAGUUCAUGGAUUCUACCUUUAAGACAGUAAAAUUAUCACCACGAUGUUCCACAAAUCAUUUGUUAUCCCAAUCUCUACCAUCUAUUUUGCACGUCAUCACACAAAGGUCAUACAGAGGACAGAACGCAGUAGUAUAGAUACAUUUCCUCUCAGCACUUUCCGGAAAACUAAAAGCUUAUGCCAUUACUAAAGGUUAAUUUCUUGUAUUCUAUUUGAG
ensembl:lncRNA novel transcript, antisense to UBE2D3